UUUUUAUGGAGAGUUUGAUCCUGGCUCAGGAUGAACGCUGGCGGCGUGCCUAAUACAUGCAAGUCGAGCGAACAGACGAGGAGCUUGCUCCUUUGACGUUAGCGGCGGACGGGUGAGUAACACGUAGGUAACCUACCUAUAAGACUGGGAUAACUUCGGGAAACCGGAGCUAAUACCGGAUAAUAUUUCGAACCGCAUGGUUCGAUAGUGAAAGAUGGCUUU
rnacentral:rRNA from 1 species